GUAAUGGUAAAUUUCCUUAUCUAUGGUAACCCUUAGGAAUACUUAGGUGUAUAUGAAGAGAUUGUAUGGGCGGUCACUUCAUGUUUCACUUAAGUGUGGCUUUGGGUAACUUGAGAUAGAGGUCAAGAAAUGAUGAAAAGGCUUACUUGUAUUUUUUUCAUGAAGUUUUACCAAAUGGCAUAAAAGCAUGUUUCUCCAAUAAACGUCCCUUUUAGCAUGUUUUUGCAUGGCUUCCA
rnacentral:lncRNA from 1 species